AGUGAACGCUGGCGGUAGGCCUAACACAUGCAAGUCGAACGGCAGCACAGAGGAGCUUGCUCCUUGGGUGGCGAGUGGCGGACGGGUGAGGAAUACAUCGGAAUCUACUCUGUCGUGGGGGAUAACGUAGGGAAACUUACGCUAAUACCGCAUACGACCUACGGGUGAAAGCAGGGGAUCUUCGGACCUUGCGCGAUUGAAUGAGCCGAUGUCGGAUUAGCUAGUUGGCGGGGUAAAGGCACACCAAGGCGACGAUCCGUAGCUGGUCUGAGAGGAUGAUCAGCCACAAUGGAACUGAGACACAGACCAGCCUCAUACGGGAGGCAGCAGUGGGGAAUAUUGGACAAUGGGCGCAAGCCUGAUCCAGCCAUACCGCGUGGGUGAAGAAGGCCUUCGGGUUGUAAAGCCCUUUUGUUGGGAAAGAAAUCCAUCUGGUUAAUACCCGGGUGGGAUGACGGUACCCAAAGAAUAAGCACCGGCUAACUUCGUGCCAGCCGCCGCCGUAA
rnacentral:rRNA from 1 species